CAUCCAUGGACAUGUUAGCAGAUGCCUCUCAAAGCAAAGGGGACUUGAGUCAGUACAGGCGAGUACAGCCCAAGAUCUAAGGAUGGAUGGAAGUGAGUCCUGAAGACUACAACAUAACUUCAUGGUGCCAACCCAGAAUAGAAGAUUCGAAAGCAAGCUGUUGCAUGCUGACCAAUCCAAGGGAGUCAAGAUCUUCCUUUGUCUCCUCCGCAAAAGCUCUGCCAGCCGCAGCCAUUCCUGCCUGGAGGCAGAGCCUAGAAGUUUCCAGUUGCCUGCCUCUGUUUCCCCAUGCCAGUUCAGAAUGCACCCAGAUCUCUUCCUUGCCAUCUGGAUAGCAUUCUCUUCGAGGGCACUUUGUGAAAGAACUCAGCUGUAGGUGGGAAUGAAUGUUGCGAGUUUCUCAAUGGACUGGAAUUGUAAAUCACUCUGAAGUUGGGAUGAAACCCUAGGAGCUGUGCCAUGCAAACCACAAUUCCCUAAACCUCUGUAAAAAUUGCCCUGAACCCCCUGGAGACCUGGCAAGGCGUUCGUUUUUUGUUGCUUGGCACUUGGCUGCUCCGGUUCUGGCUGAACCUCAGCAGCCCAGAGGCAUAUAAACACUUACAGCCUCAAAGCCUAAGCCCUAGACAAGAAUGCCUCCCGGACCCCUGGAUACUUUCCCUUCAGCCUCUAAAGCAAAAGGAAACCCCUCAGGCUCUCGGGGAUGGCGGCGGGGGCAGGGGUGGUAAGCAGGGAAAUACAGCUGGCACUGGCUCUCGGGUGAGCCUUGGUCCUAUCCUUCUUGCGCUCUCGAAGCAGAUCCUAGGAUCCAUACUUGAGUUUGUGCAUCAGCUGGGCUAGGGACCUUGAUUGCCAGUCUUUGCAGUUGUGCUAGGGAAUACUGGAGGCCAAGGCCCUUGGGCCUGGGAGGCUGCAGAUGGAGCUCACAGGAAGCUUUGAAGUUCUGAGCAGGACGGGGGAGGCGUGGGAAGUGAGACGUCUGUUUCCCUGAGUUCCCAGGAGGCGAGAUGUCUCUCUGUUAUCUUAUAGGCCUCAGCAUAGCCUAAAGGUGCUGGCUAAAGCCAGUCUUGGCCCUGAGUAAAUCAGGCCAGAACCAAAGAACACACUUGAAUGGAAGUGGAAAAUUAGCCGCUAUGCAGGAGAAAGCCUCCUCUCCAAAAUAUAUAUGCAUCAAAGUGUACCCCUGUCUAGCUGGGACAGGAGCCAUGAAAAUGCAAAUGUGGGUUUUGAGAAUGCUAAUGUUGGAAGUGGAGAACAAAGCGGAGACAGACUUCUUGGGGCCAGGCAGAGGGCCCCAGGGCAGGAUGUGGGAGCCAGUGGGGGCAGGGAUGAAAGGGGGAAGGAAGCGGUGUGAGGGGCCUGGAGAUGAGAGAACAGCAGGAGCCUGGCAGGGCUGAAAGACUAGAAAGAAGGGAGUGUAGAGAGGACGGGCCCAGAGGACCUGACCGCUGACCGCUGACCUGAGGCCAUGGGCCCAGGAAACAGGAGGGGGACUUGAGGGAACUAUCUCAGAGUGGCAACCCAGCGGGGUAGGAUGUGCCUAGAGGUCAAGGCUUGGAGCAAGAGACAACAGAAGGUCCCGGGUUUCGUUAAAAGCCAGGAAACAGGAGGCAGGCUCUGCUUGGGCGCAAGAGGUAUAAAAGAAGGUGCUAUAGUCCAGUGCUGUGCCAAAGCCAAGCUGGACUGGUGCCGUUGCACCUAGAGCUGCAUCACGGGCUUGCAAUCCUAUGCUUGCAGAUGGAGGACUGCCUUCUCAGUGUCCUGAGAUGCAGAGCUCAGUGGCCACUAUGAGGCUGGACGAGCGUAGAGUUUGCUUCCUGGAUGCUUGUUGGUACCUCUGAAGGUGAAGCAGCAGCAGCCCAGGCCUUCAUAAUGCAAGCCACAUCCACCUGUAGAGGCCUGAUGAGGCUCCCUUCCUGUUCAGUCUAGAAAACCAGCACAUGCCUCUUCAGUUAAGCUGCAUCCCCUCUCCCAGAGGUGCUGCUGUGAGUCCUCUGGUACUGAGAAGUCCCCACCCUAACCACUAUAGCCUCGUGAUUAGAAAGCAGACCCCUGGAGUAAGUUAUUGGACCCCAGAGAGAUUAAAGUGUGGUCAGAGGUACCAGGCCAAAGUCAAAGGCCAAAAUGGGGAAAACUCCCCUCCAUUUUGGGAGUGAGUGGCUACUUCCGUUGGAAGAAUGGAUCCAGGUGAUGUGCUUGACCUGGGGACCUUGUUCAUCUCAUCCUUUCUCAGAUGCACCCAGUGUGGUCCUGGCUUACAGUUCACAUUCAAUAAAUCACUCCUGAGUCA